rnacentral:lncRNA from 1 species
AAAGAGAUGACUCUCCAGGCUGCCGAAGGGCAUGUACUUGUGUAAGGCUGAACCAAAAUGCAGGCCAUCAGUACACUAUAUAUACUGAGAGGUGGAUUAUGUAGGAGUAUUGACACCUCAGCAAUGAACAUGCAACAAUUUCGUAUUAUCGACUUAAAGAUGUUGAUAAUAAGUACAUAAUAAAUGGGAGGCUCGACAUCGGAAAACUCGCAGAUGGUAACAAGGAGGUAGGGGUUGUGAGCCUUGUCCCUGACAUCUCCACAUUCUUCUUCAACUGCUCAAGCGGAUCUGAUCACUACUAAAACCCAUCAAAACAAGAGAGGAACCAACUUUAGAAAGAGAAGGUAGCUAAAAGGAAGAAGAGAGCUACAAAGUCACACAUACCAUUAUGGACAGACAUUGUAGUCUUGUUUCCCGCAGAAGACUAUGCUUUCACACUUUGUGGACAAAUCUCUCAAUAUUUCGU